UGAUUGGAUCUGGUCCCAUGCCCUGAGAGAUGCAGCGGAGAGCGAGUCGGUCCCAUGAGGCAUGUUUGCAUCAGGAUUAAAAGUCCUCACAGUGGAGCUGAUUAAUAGAUUUUUUUGGCCAAGAGGCAUGCAGGAUCUUAGCUCCCCCACCAGGGAUGGAACCUGCACCCCCUGCAUUGGAAGGCGAAGUCUUAACCACUGGACCACCAGGGAAGUCCCCUAUGAUUCCUUGUUUCAUCAGCUGCUACCCCACUGGUUUUUAAGGACUUGAGGAUAUUUUAAAAUGACAGCACUGGACUUCCCUGGUGGCUCAGUGGUUAAGAACCCGCCUGCCAGUGCAGAGGACACAGGUUUGAGCCCUGCUCCUGGAAGAUCGCACAUGCCUCGGAGCAACUAAGCCCAUGUGCCACAACUAUUGAAGCCUGUGCUCCACAACAAGAGAAGCCACCGCAAUGAGAAGCCCAUGCACUGCAAGGAAGAGUAGCCCCUGCUCUCUGCAGCUAGAGAAAGCCCAUAUGCAGCAACGAAGACCCAACA